rnacentral:rRNA from 1 species
GAUGAACGCUAGCGGCAGGCUUAAUACAUGCAAGUCGUGGGGCAGCGCAGUGUAGCAAUACAUGGGCGGCGACCGGCAAACGGGUGCGUAACACGUACGCAACCUUCCCGUUACUGGGGAAUAGCCCAGGGAAACUUGGAUUAAUACCCCAUAUUAUAUUGAUUGGGCAUCUAAUUAAUAUCAAAGCUUCGGCGGUAACGGAUGGGCGUGCGGUUGAUUAGGUAGUUGGCGGGGUAACGGCCCACCAAGCCUACGAUCAAUAGCUGAUGUGAAAGCAUGAUCAGCCACACGGGCACUGAGACACGGGCCCGACUCCUACGGGAGGCAGCAGUAAGGAAUAUUGGGCAAUGGACGAAAGUCUGACCCAGCCAUGCCGCGUGGAGGAUGAAGGUCCUCUGGAUUGUAAACUUCUUUUUUCUGGGGCGAAAACCGGUUUUUCUAAACCAUUUGACAGUACCAGAAGAAUAAGCACCGGCUAACUCCGUGCCAGCCGCCGCAGUAACAC